rnacentral:rRNA from 1 species
UGCAGUCGUACGAGAACACCCUAGCUUGCUAGGGUAAGUAAAGUGGCGCACGGGUGAGUAACGCGUGGGUAAUCUACCUUCGAAUUGGGGAUAACGUUGCGAAAGCGACGCUAAUACCGAAUAAUAUCCAUUAACCUUUGGGUUUUUGGAUCAAGGGUGGCCUCUACAUGUAAGCUACUGUUUGAAGAUGAACCCGCGUACCAUUAGCUUGUUGGUGAGGUAAAAGCUUACCAAGGCUUCGAUGGUUAGCUGGUCUGAGAGGAUGAUCAGCCACACUGGAACUGACACACGGUCCAGACUCCUACGGGAGGCAGCAGUGAGGAAUUUUGCGCAAUGGGGGAAACCCUGACGCAGCAACGCCGCGUGAGUGAUGAAGGCUUUCGGGUCGUAAAGCUCUGUCAAGUGGGAAGAACCCGCGCCGUGCAAAUAGUGCGGUGCGUUGACGGUACCACUGAAGGAAGCACCGGCUAACUCCGUG